rnacentral:rRNA from 1 species
AGCGAACGCUGGCGGCAGGCCUAAUACAUGCAAGUCGAGCGGCCGUAGCUAUACGGCAGCGGCAGACGGGAGAGUAACACGUGGGAACGUACCUUUCGGUUCGGAACAACCCAGGGAAACUUGGGCUAAUACCGGAUACGUCCGUAAGGAGAAAGAUUUAUCGCCGAAAGAUCGGCCCGCGUCUGAUUAGCUUGUUGGUGAGGUAACGGCUCACCAAGGCGACGAUCAGUAGCUGGUCUGAGAGGAUGAUCAGCCUCACUGGGACUGAGACACGGCCCAGACUCCUACGGGAGGCAGCAGUAGGGAAUAUUGGACAAUGGGCGCAAGCCUGAUCCAGCCAUGCCGCGUGAGUGAUGAAGGCCCUAGGGUUGUAAAGCUCUUUCGGCGGGGAAGAUAAUGACGGUACCCGCAGAAGAAGCCCCGGCUAACUUCGUGCCAGCAGCCGCCGUAA